rnacentral:rRNA from 1 species
UACGUAGGGGGCUAGCGUUGUCCGGAAUCAUUGGGCGUAAAGAGCUCGUAGGUGGUUUGUCGCGUUGUUCGUGAAAACUCACAGCUUAACUGUGGGCGUGCGGGCGAUACGGGCAGACUGGAGUACUGCAGGGGAGACUGGAAUUCCUGGUGUAGCGGUGAAAUGCGUAGAUAUCGAGAGGAACACCUGCGGCGAAGGCGGGUUGCUGGGCUGAUACUGACGCUGAGGCGCGAAAGCCAGGGGAGCGAACGGG